GGUUUGGAUAGCUUAUAAACUCAGCCCCAGCUCUCUGCCUCAUCCAAAACCCUAACCUUACUUCCCCAAAAUCCUUCCGCCACAACGCCCUCUUGUACAACCUCAUCAUCUCCAAGCUCUCCCCCGCCAAGCUCUUCCCUGACAUGGAGCAGAUCCUCCUCUAGAUGAAGCAGUAGCAGCACCGUUUCGUCCCCAAAGAAUCCCUCUUCUGCCACGUCAUUUCCUCCUAUGGCUGCUCCUGCAUGCCGGGCCCCGUUCCUCCACACCUUCGACCAAAUCCCUUCCUUUGGCUCCCAAAGAAUAGUCACAUCUCUCAAUUCCCUUCUCAGUGCACACUUGGGUUGUAGAGAAUUCAAAAAUUUCCAGGAAUUUUAUCUGCAUCUUGAUCGGUGUUCUUUUCUUCCAUGCGAGCAGCUGCUACCCAACUGCUGCAGUGUUGAUCUUCUUGGCCGGGCUGGAUAUUUGGCUGAUGUUGUCCUUGCAUCCCAUGUUGCUGACAGGCAAUGGCCCGUCCACAGUGGGUCCCACCAAAUGAAACAGUUGAGAUUAGCUGUGAAGACAACCUUUCUCACAGCAGGCUAUAUGGUUACUUUCUCUUCAUUUAUUUUCAAACUCUCAGAGAUGGGUGUUGGAGUCUGCUUUGGUUUCUUACGAGUUUUGGCAAUUGGUACUCUGGUCCCACAGCUUGUUAGGUUCUACACAAGAAUUGGGUUCAAGGCCGUGCAUGAAGUUACCAGUUCGUCGAUGGUGACCUGGCUCACAUGUUGGUAUGGGGAGGGAAGGGAACUAGAAUGGAUGCCGAUAUUGAAGAGCUUCUCGUGAAAUCGGGCAGCAGGUUUAAAGCUCAGAAUUGAAAUCCAAUUGGAAUUCAGACUUUUACAAACUUAAGCAAGCGAACUGUUUUGUUGAUUUAUUCUUGAGAACUAGUGGAACCAGAAUAGGAUGCAGAGACCUCUUCAUAGUACAUGUGGCAGAACCCGUUUCUCUAAGUUAUAGCCUAAAAUUUCUGAUUGGUCUAGCAGUCCUAAACUCUAACUCAGGUACACUUGUUUGUUGAGAGAAGAAUGUUGGAUAAUUUUUAUUUUUAAUCAUCCAAUAAACGUCUGCCAAUCUGAUAGUCAGAUAAUCAAAUAAGCUAAGUGCCUGAUUAUAAUCCAUGACACUCUUCUAGAGCAUCCAAGUUAUUUUUUCUUCCAAGCAUUGUCUUUGGAAUAUAUAAUAAUUUAAUUCCUAAGCUAAGUUUCACUAUUGGCAAUUUAGAAUUUGGCUGGAAUUCAAUUCCUGAUUUUAAGCCAUUUACUAUCCUUUCCAAAAGGCUACUUCUCAAAUUCUUAUAGAUUGGAUUCAAAUUUGAAGUUGUCAAACACAAAUAAUGCACUGAAAUUCUCAAGAAUCCAAUUACUAGUCCUGAUUGAGGUCCCUGGUUUAGCCAUGAGAAAGAAAGGGAGGAUGGAUUUUAUUUAUUUUUUAAUGUAUGUUAAAUUGAUCUCAUGUGAAAUUUUUUAAUAUGAAAAUUUCAGUGUACAUGUUUUUCAUUCACACAGUAAGCAUUUAUAAAUAUAAUGGUCUGAAUAUAUUUAUUUUCAAAAAAUUGAUUGAUAGGAUACUAAUUGUAAGGAUUAAUUGGAAUUCCAACAAUACAAAUUCAAAUUUUG